GACGAACGCUGGCGGCGUGCUUAACACAUGCAAGUCGAACGGGCCUUGUCCCCUUUUUUUGGGGGUGGGGUUAGUGGCGAACGGGUGAGUAACACGUGAGUAACCUGCCCCUCACUUCUGGAUAACCGCUUGAAAGGGUGGCUAAUACGGGGUGUUCUGGCCUGCUCGCAUGGGUGGGUUUGGAAAGAUUCGACCGGUUUUGGUUGUUUUGGUGGGGGAUGGGCUCGCGGCCUAUCAGCUUGUUGGUGGGGUGAUGGCCUGCCAAGGCUUUGACGGGUAGCCGGCCUGAGAGGGUGGGCGGUCACACUGGGACUGAGACACGGCCCAGACUCCUACGGGAGGCAGCAGUGGGGAAUAUUGCACAAUGGGCGCAAGCCUGAUGCAGCGACGCCGCGUGAGGGAUGGAGGCCUUCGGGUUGUGAACCUCUUUCGCCAGUGAAGAAGGUCCUGCUCUUUGUGGUGGGGUUGACGGUAGCUGGGUUAAUGAAGCGCCGGCUAACUACAUG
rnacentral:rRNA from 1 species